ACUCCUACGGGAGGCAGCAGUGGGGAAUAUUGGACAAUGGGCGAAAAGCCUGAUCCAGCCAUGCCGCGUGUGUGAAGAAGGUCUUCGGAUUGUAAAGCACUUUAAGUUGGGAGGAAGGGCAUUAACCUAAUACGUUAGUGUUUUGACGUUACCGACAGAAUAAGCACCGGCUAACUCUGUGCCAGCAGCCGCGGUAAUACAGAGGGUGCAAGCGUUAAUCGGAAUUACUGGGCGUAAAGCGCGCGUAGGUGGUUUGUUAAGUUGGAUGUGAAAUCCCCGGGCUCAACCUGGGAACUGCAUUCAAAACUGACUGACUAGAGUAUGGUAGAGGGUGGUGGAAUUUCCUGUGUAGCGGUGAAUGCGUAGAUAUAGGAAGGAACACCAGUGGCGAAGGCGACCACCUGGACUAAUACUGACACUGAGGUGCGAAAG
rnacentral:rRNA from 1 species